rnacentral:lncRNA from 1 species
ACAACAUCAUAGUUUUAUUAAUGCAGUUGAAAACAGCGAAUAAGCUACAAAGUUCAGUGAUACAGAUCCCCGUGUCUCCAAGCCAGCAAUUGCACAGAUUUACAUCUUAAUUGAUAUUUUAUUCUGAAAGGAAAAUCGAAGCCCUCAGCUACCUAAGUCCUUACAAUUAAUCAGGCGCAGAAUAAUCUAUAAAGAUUACCAGUACCACCAUCCCAGUAGCAUUGAAAAAAACACCCCACCCAACCCUAAACAAACAAACAAAAAAAAAAACAAAAAACCCAAAGGCAGAAGCAGCUCUUCAAAAUCUGUAAGCUAUCAGGGGAACAUUGUCUAACAACACUUCACAAUCCACAGGGCAGUACAUGCAUUUGCAUUGAGUAAUAACUCAUCAGAAUUGUUAGGUGUGGCAUGGAUUUGAGCACAUAUGGUAUCCCUAAUUUCCCUUGCCUGCUUGAACCUUAAUUCUGUAGUACCAUUGAAGCAGCACUGGUUAAGGGAUCCAUCAGUAUGUAGGCUCUGCUUUAAACAAAAAUACUAGCCUCUGGUUUUCCAGUUGCAGACCAUGACACAACAAGUCAUGGAUGUAUCCACAUGCUUUUGCAAGCUUGACAUCCAGGUGAUUUUCAGGCUAGUGCUAUUUUACGUUUGUGUCCCACACACACAGGCCAACCCUACUCUGAAUCUCCCAAACAAACUGGAACUGCAAAGUCAAAUUGCUGAGGGCCUCUUUCAUUAGCAGAAUGAAUUUCUUCAGCCAUGUACCACGGCUCUGGAAGGCUGGAGGACUUCCCUUACAGCCAUGACAUCCUUCAGACAUUGUGGAGCCAUUGCUGGUCAUCCCAUUGUCAGCAGGACUGUAUAAUCCCACCUACCAUGCUGUCUGUGUCUUGCUUAGCUGCUCCUUAAGUGUUGACGGAUGAGAAAGCAGUCACAGCAUUCAUCUGCUUUGCUAGAUUUAUGAUACAUGCCGUGUUCAGUCUCCAUACUCAAUGCCUUCACAUAAUUAGGAAUGGUCUCUCUGAUCUAGUGUCCCAAACCACAACUGCCAGCAAACACAUGUGUGGGAGCAAGGGGGUUUGUGCCUGUCUCAAGUUUGGCAUCCACAUGUACAAAUGCAUGGACACUUAGAAU